UACAGAGGAUGCAAGCGUUAUCCGGAAUCACUGGGCAUAAAGCGUCUGUAGGUUGUUUAGUAAGUCUGCUGUUAAAUACUAGGGCUUAACCCUAGGCCAGCAGUGGAAACUGCUAGACUUGAGUGUGGUAGAGGUAGAGGGAAUUCCUGGUGUAGCGGUGAAAUGCGUAGAUAUUAGGAAGAACACCAAUGGCGAAAGCACUCUACUGGGCCAUAACUGACACUAAGAGACGACAGCUAGGGGAGCAAAUGGG
rnacentral:rRNA from 1 species